rnacentral:rRNA from 1 species
UUAGAGUUUGAUCCUGUGCUCAGGACCAACGCUGGCGGCCUGCCUAAUACAUGCCAGUCUAGCGAGCUGAACCAGCAGAUUCACUUCAGUGAUGACGCUGGGAACGCGAGCGGCGGAUGGGUGAGUAACACGUGGGUAACCUGCCCUAAAGUCUGGGAUACCACUUGGAAACAGGUGCUAAUACCGGAUAACAACAAUAGCUGCAUGGCUAUUGCUUAAAAGGCGGCGAAAGCUGUCGCUAAAGGAUGGACCCGCGGUGCAUUAGCUAGUUGGUAAGGUAAUGGCUUACCAAGGCGACGAUGCAUAGCCGAGUUGAGAGACUGAUCGGCCACAUUGGGACUGAGACACGGCCCAAACUCCUACGGGAGGCAGCAGUAGGGAAUCUUCCACAAUGGGCGAAAGCCUGAUGGAGCAACGCCGCGUGAGUGAAGAAGGUUUUCGGAUCGUAAAGCUCUGUUGUUGGUGAAGAAGGAUAGAGGUAGUAACUGGCCCCUAUUUGACGGUAAUCAACCAGAAAGUCACGGCUAACUACGUGCCAGCAGCCGCGGUAAUACGUAGGUGGCAAGCGUUGUCCGGAUUUAUUGGGCGUAAAGCGAGCGCAGGCGGAAAGAUAAGUCUGAUGUGAAAGCCCCCGGCUUAACCGAGGAAUUGCAUCGGAAACUGUGUUUCUUGAGUGCAGAAGAGGAGAGUGGAACUCCAUGUGUAGCGGUGGAAUGCGUAGAUAUAUGGAAGAACACCAGUGGCGAAGGCGGCUCUCUGGUCUGUAACUGACGCUGAGGCUCGAAAGCAUGGGUAGCGAACAGGAUUAGAUACCCUGGUAGUCCAUGCCGUAAACGAUGAGUGCUAAGUGUUGAGAGGUUCCGCGCUCUCAGUGCGGCAGCUAACGGCAUUAAGCACUCCGCCUGGGGGAGUACGGGCCGCAAGGUUUAAACUCAAAGGAAUUGAGGGGGGCCCGCACAAGCGGUGGAGCAUGUGUUUUAAUUUGAAGCAACGCGAAGAACCUUAGCAGGUCUUGACAUCUAGUGCCAUCGUAGGGGGAUUAGGAGUUCCCUUCGGGGACACUAAGACAGGUGGUGCAUGGCUGUCGUCAGCUCGUGUCGUGAGAUGUUGGGUUAAGUCCAGCAACGAGCGCAACCCUCGUCCUUAGUUGCUAACAGCUGGGCUGAGCACUCUAAGGAGACUGCCUUCGUAAGGAGGAGGAAGGUGAGGACGACGUCAAGUCAUCAUGGCCCUUACGCCUAGGGCUACACACGUGCUACAAUGGGGCAUACAAUGAGGAGCAAUACCGCGAGGUGGAGCAAAUCUCUAAAAUGUCUCUCAGUUCGGAUUGUAGUCUGCAACUCGACUACAUGAAGCUGGAAUCGCUAGUAAUCGCAAAUCAGCAAUGUUGCGGUGAAUACGUUCCCGGGUCUUGCACACACCGCCCGUCA